rnacentral:misc_RNA from 1 species
GAACAAACAAGAACAAAGAACAAACAAGGACUAAUCCUUGGGAAAGAGAACUAAUUCUUAUAUUUUAUUGAUCUCAUAAAAUUGUUUUAGCAAAUCUAAUUUAAUAACAAUAGAAACCCUAGGUCAUAGCAAAUUCCAAUCACGUUAAAAUUUUAGAACUCUAAUUACGUCCUAAUUAACAAUACUAAACUAAACCAAAAUAAACCUAGGAAAUAAUAAUAAACCUAUUAAUAAAAUUCUAAACUUGAUAAAACUCUGAAAUUUCCUAAUUUUGCAAUGAAAAUAAUUCCUAAAUUGU